GAUGAAGAACGUAGCGAAAUGCGAUACUUGGUGUGAAUUGCAGAAUCCCGCGAAUCAUCGAGUUUUUGAACGCAAGUUGCGCCCGAAGCCAUUCGGCCGAGGGCACGUCUGCCUGGGUGUCACGCAUCGUUGCCCCCCCAAACUCCGGUUCGGGCAGGGCGGAAGUUGGCCUCCCGUGCGUGCCUGCGCGCGCGGUUAGCCCAAAAGCGAGUCCUCGGCGACGAGCGCCACGACAAUCGGUGGUUUUUUUACCCUCGUUCCUCGUCGUGCGUGCCCCGUCGCCCGAACGCGCUCUUGCGACCCUUACGCGUCGCCUCGGCGGCGCUCCCAACGCGACCCCAGGUCAGGCGGGACUACCCGCUGAGUUUAAGCAUAUCAAUAAGCGGGAGGA
rnacentral:misc_RNA from 1 species